GGUCAAGACCCACUCUAUUUGAUAUUAAGCUUAUAAAGUUGUAUAUAUAAUGAUAUAAUAUGCUAUGACCAUGGACCUUCAGCUCAUCACUUGCGCAGCCUCUGCAUCAAUGGAUGAAGGAGUGGAACUCUAUAAUACAUCCCUGAGCAGUGUUUUUGAUCUCCAUGCCCCCGUCAUGUCAUGUGUCCUACUCAAACUCUCAUAAAGAUAAAGAUGCUUGCUCACAGUUCUAUUCUAGCCUAAUCAAUAAAAACCCUGGCAACUCCAGACCGCUUUUUUCCACCAUAAACCAUCUCUUGAGGCCACAACCAUCCUUUUCAACUGAGGCUACAGAGGAGCAAUGCAACAGGUUCAUUGACUUUUUCAGAUCCAAGGUCAACAACAUUCGCUCUCUGCCAGUGUGCUGUCUCCUUUACAUCUCACAGAGGUUCAAGAAAGCCAUGUGGGGAAAUCCUCCGAAAAAUGAUAUCCUGUACCUGUACCCUGGACCCCAUUUCCACUGCUCUGAUCUGAUCUGAAGAGACAACUACUCUCAGUCCUUUCAUCACCAGCUAUUAAAACCGUUCAAAUAUUAAAAUAUUCAGCUCCUUCAGGACAUCCCUGCUAUAACUUUUCAGCUUUCUACUACUUAUGCUUGAAUUAAUAUGAAUCAAUAAGUUUUUAACAUGCUGUUCCAAUCUAGUUCAUUUUCAAAUCCUCUUAAACUUCUUCAACUUUUAAAUCCUUCUUGCUUCGUCAAUCUUUCAGCUACAGUCACCGAACACUAACUCUAUUUUAUUAAAAGAACAACUUGUUGAUGUCUAUUUGACUUUUUUCAUAAUCACUGAUUAUGUUUCAUCAGUUUUUCAGUCAGUUUCUGUGAUUUACAGUGAGAGCUGAAGAUCUUGAGUGUACAGCGUCAGAAUCUGGUUAAAAAACAACAACACUCUUCUGGCUUCAUUGUUGGAUCAAAAUGAUUGCAUGCUUGUGCUGGUUGUGCUCAUGUGGCUGUGGAAUCCCACAGACAUUCACUUUUGGCCUGAGAAGCACGAGAGUGAGACAACGGCUGUCUCAAGCUUCAUAGGCUCCAAUACAAAUCUGAGGUAGAAGGUACAGAAGGUACACAUUUUGUAAACUACCAGCAAGAACUGGUGUAAUAAAUGAAAAUAUUUAGUUAGCACUUAGCACUGUACAUAUUUCUAUUUCCAACAUACUGUGAGAUGCAUGUAGUGGUUAAAAAACAUUCUGUAAACAAUUGUCUUGUGCUAAAAGCCAGGUCUCAGUGGUUGACCCUGAGAUGUAGAGAUAGAAAGAUUUAGGGUUUGCAGCUGUGUUUGGGGAAGGGGGUCGACUUGCUCUCAGACCUUCGAUCAGAGGAGCAUUGUGUGUUACCCUCAGCUUCACCUGAGUUCUUAUCUCGACUUGAUUUGUGGCUUCUCUAAACUGGCACUAAGGCACUGUCACUGGCACUGUCUUCAAGUGUAUAAAAACUCAGCGUUUUUACUGCUCGGAGACGCCAUUACACAGAACGCUGGAAUACGUGCUGGUGGACCUCCUGCUUGCAAGCAAUAGUUAGAGCCAGAUAUCUGCGGAGAAUUGCUCAUGUAAUCUUUUUCUCUUUUAAAUAAAUGUUAACUUUUUGACUUGGAUCCUUCUCAUCAACCGACUCGGGGGGAUCGGAGAUCCUGACAAUACUAGAGUUUUCUGCCUCUUGCAAACCCCCGGAGCCCCCCCGGCCGUCUGGCCACCCACCGGGACCCCUCCAGAGUUCCCCGGGCGGUCCGACCAACAUUUCUGGUUUCCUUCCCUCCCGCCCCUUGUCUGCUCUCUGCCAGUUUAGGGCCGUCUGGAAUUCGGCCCUUGUACUGUCACGGUGUGGGUUUAUUUCCUGUCUUAUUUGUUUUCUACGUCUUGUGUCGCUGGG
ensembl:lncRNA